UCUGUGCUUAGACAAGAUUAUAGUCUUGCU
rnacentral:piRNA from 1 species